UACGUAGGGGGGCAAGCGUUGUCCGGAAUCAUUGGGCGUAAAGCGCGUGUAGGCGGUUCGGUAAGUCUGCUGUGAAAGUCCAGGGCUCAACCCUGGGAUGCCGGUGGAUACUGUCGGGCUAGAGUCCGGAAGAGGCGAGUGGAAUUCCUGGUGUAGCGGUGAAAUGCGCAGAUAUCAGGAGGAACACCAGAGUGCGAAGGCAGCUCGCUGGGACGUUACUGACGCUGAGACGCGAAAGCGUGGGGAGCAAACAGG
rnacentral:rRNA from 1 species